UUGGCCAAGAGCAAAAGAGCCUCUGGAAGGGCUCAGCUGCCACCCACCCCGCACAAGAAGGGCGGUGGGAUCCUGAGCCUCAGCGUGGCUUCGUUUCAGUUCACUCUUCAAGCGUUCUAUCAGAAUCCAGAAUCUUGUUCUUUUGUAGGAGAAAACAAACAGCAAGGACAGGUUUUGGCGACUUUACUUACAGGUAAGCGGGAGUGUCAAACACGAGCUUGGUACGACCAAGGCUUUGCUUUCUUUGAUGGUCAUCCCACAGAAGUCUCUUGCUCCUCUUCCUGAUUUGCUGGGCACCUUUCCCCAUCCAGCCUCCUGUUCUGCACAUCUGUAAUGCAUGGGCAUCUCUGUAUGUACGGGGGCAUUUACAAGCUUUGGAGAAUGCGUGGGCCUGACAGCACCUGACACUUGAUUUGUUGUUACUGAUUUCUUCCUCAGAGUUGCAGAAACUCUCCCCAUAUGUGGCUGAGCCGCUGGAAAGAACUCUGCCCUUGCCAUGUGUUCCUAAUCGGUGGGCUCCCAGCAAGCAUGGAACCUAGCCUGCCGUUGCACGAGGCUGAGUUGGCUCCCAGGCACUGUCAUUUGAUCUCUCCCCUGCUCUCAUCCGCGAUCGGGAACUGAAAAUAUUUACUUUGUGUUGGCUCGACAAAAACCAGUAAAUAGCAGCCUUUGCAGGGCCCAGAACACACACCAAAGGAGCAGAGGAAGGAAGGUCCAAACAGCCCCAGUUAUACUUAGAAGAGGGAGUGUUCUGAGCUGGGAUGCAAAACCCAGAGGCAGGGUCAAGUCUCAGGUUUCUUUUGCCUCUGAAGUCAGUUAUUUACUGACCGGGGCUUUGGAACCAAAUGAAAGUACGACCACCCCUGCCCCCUCGCCCUCAUGUUCAUUGCUAAAUCUCUUUUGGGAAAUGCAGCUGUAAUGGGUUUUCUGAUCAUUUUCUCUGUUUCUGUUAUGAGAUUGUUUAUUCACUCAAUCAGCCAUUUAAUACCUUUUUACUGAGUAACCCCCAUUUUCUAGGCUUUAUUAUGGGUGCUGGAGACUCAGUAAUGAACUAUAGGAAUCUCCAUCUCAAGAUAAUAAGUCAAUAGGAUAAUUUCAGAUUGAUUCAACUAAUAGGAAAGAGACAACCUAGGGGUUAUUUAUAGAGAAAAACUGUAGAGUGUUGUUAGGUGAUUAUACCAGCCUUCCUGACAUACUAUUUGACUCUAGACCUAAAGGAAAAGAGGCAACCAUGCAAAAACUGGUAGGCAGGUGAUAAGGCAGAAGAGACAGUAAGUGUAAGAGAAGAGAUUCAUGUUAUGAUAGAAUGGAAAACACAUUAGAGUACCAGGGACCACAUCAGGGAAAAGAAUGGAGUAGAAGAUAACUUUAUCACUAUCUCUGCAAUAUAUUUUUUCAAGCUGAUCCUUACUACCAUCUCAUCAAUUUUGUAUUCUUACACCUGUUUAAUCAGGACCAUAAAACUAAGGCUUGAUAAUAGCACAUGGAUAUCUUGAAAUAGAGUGGAAGCAAAACGAAGUGCUGCUAAUAUCUGCCAAAGAUGAGGUGAAGUGGUGCAACCCAGGAGGCCUGGGGACCCCAUUGCACAUGACCACAGAGCACCCUGCUCUACACCAGCAAUCACUGAUCUGCUCCCUGCUCCAUCCAAGGCACAUCUGAGGUUUCCAGACCAUGCCCUGACAGCCACAAGCUAUUCAGAGGACAUCAGUCCUGUCUUACAUAGGAAGGACUACUUCAUGAUGAAGAUCCUUAGGAAUAGGAGGCAUGGCACAGCACAGCACACUGAGCCACCCAGGGCAGCACCAGUGUUGGUCAGGAGGCGGAUGGAGUGGGGACCAUGUGGACAAGGGCCUCUGUUGUGGUUUGCACAGGAAGAAGCCAACAUGCAGCUUCCUGGUGCAGAGCUCCGGUGCUGGACAGCAGUAGCCUGGGCUUCCCCUUGAUGGGCUCCCCGCUGCUCAAAGCCAGCCAUCUCCUUUCUCUACUCUUCUCUUCCAUUGUUGGGUCAUGACUGCAAACUCGUCUCCCAAAUUCAUCUCACUUGAGAGACACCGGUUUAUCCUUUCUUUCUCCUAUGACUGUAGAUUACCCAUCACAUAGUUGAGAACACUCUGCAGUUACUUGUCAGUGCAUUUUGAUCACUUACAUGUGUAUCCAUAGGUUAUAUUCCUAGAGGGCAAUUGUUUACUCAAGGGAAAGAUUAAUUUGU